GACGAACGCUGGCGGCGUGCCUAAUACAUGCGAGUCGAACGCAUUUUCUUUCACCGUAGCUUGCUACACCGAAAGAAAAUGAGUGGCGAACGGGUGAGUAACACGUGGGUAACCUGCCCAUCAGCGGGGGAUAACACUUGGAAACAGGUGCUAAUACCGCAUAAUUCCAUUUACCGCAUGGUAGAUGGAUGAAAGGCGCUUUUGCGUCACUGAUGGAUGGACCCGCGGUGCAUUAGCUAGUUGGUGGGGUAACGGCCUACCAAGGCUGCGAUGCAUAGCCGACCUGAGAGGGUGAUCUGCCACACUGGGACUGAGACACGGCCCAGACUCCUACGGGAGGCAGCAGUAGGGAAUCUUCGGCAAUGGACACAAGUCUGACCGAGCAACGCCGCGUGAGUGAAGAAGGUUUUCGGAUCGUAAAACUCUGUUGUUAGAGAAGAACAAGGAUGAGAGUGGAAAGUUCAUCCCUUGACGGUAUCUAACCAGAAAGCCACGGCUAACUACGUG
rnacentral:rRNA from 1 species